CGACGUGGGUAACCUGCCUCGUACAGGGGGAGUAACUAUUGGAAACGAUAGCUAAUACCGCAUAACAAUGGAUGACACAUGUCAUUUAUUUUGAAAGGGGCAAUUGCUCCACUACAAGAUGGACCUGCGUUGUAUUAGCUAGUAGGUGAGGUAACGGCUCACCUAGGCGACGAUACAUAGCCGACCUGAGAGGGUGAUCGGCCACACUGGGACUGAGACACGGCCCAG
rnacentral:rRNA from 1 species